CGAGCGCCGUCCCGUUUCGGGGGUGAGCGGCGGACGGGUGAGUAACGCGUGGGAACGUGCCCUUUGCUACGGAAUAGUCUCGGGAAACUGGGGGUAAUACCGUAUGAGCCCGUUCGGGGGAAAGAUUUAUCGGCAAAGGAUCGGCCCGCGUUGGAUUAGGUAGUUGGUGGGGUAAUGGCCCACCAAGCCGACGAUCCAUAGCUGGUUUGAGAGGAUGAUCAGCCACACUGGGACUGAGACACGGCCCAGACUCCUACGGGAGGCAGCAGUGGGGAAUCUUAGACAAUGGGCGCAGGCCUGAUCUAGCCAUGCCGCGUGAGCGAUGAAGGCCUUAGGGUUGUAAAGCUCUUUCGUGGGGAAGAUAAUGACUGUACCCCAAGAAGAAGCCCCGGCUAACUCCGUG
rnacentral:rRNA from 1 species